AAUUUAUAUAGUUUAAUUAAAAUAAUAUUUUUUCAUGAUAUAGAUAUUAAAAUUUUAUUUAUAAAU
rnacentral:tRNA from 1 species